UAGUCGGAGGUGUGUCUCGGACGGUUGGUUCGCUGCUUGUCGGUGCUUAACUGGCCGGUCCGGACGUCCUGCCGGUGGGGAUGUCAAAAGUCUCCGUUAUCCUUCUUUGGUGCUCUUCACCGAGUGCCUUGGUGGGCCGGCACGUUUACUUUGAACAAAUUAGAGUGCUCAAAGCAGGCCGUUGGUCGCCUGAAUACUGUGUGCAUGGAAUAAUGGAAUAGGACCUCGGUUCCAUUUUGUUGGUUUUCAGAACUCGAGGUAAUGAUUAAUAGGGACGGACGGGGGCAUUCGUAUUGCGACGUUAGAGGUGAAAUUCUUGGAUCGUCGCAAGACGAACCGAUGCGAAAGCAUUUGCCAAGAACGUUUUCGUUGAUCAAGAACGAAAGUUAGAGGUUCGAAGGCGAUCAGAUACCGCCCUAGUUCUAACCAUAAACGAUGCCAGCUAGCCAUCCGCCGAAGUUCCUUCUAUGACUCGGCGGGCAGCUUCCGGGAAACCAAAGCUCUUGGGUUCCGGGGGAAGUAU
rnacentral:rRNA from 2 species